UACGUAGGGGGCUAGCGUUGUCCGGAAUCAUUGGGCGUAAAGCGCGUGUAGGCGGUCCGGUAAGUCCGCUGUGAAAGUCGGGGGCUCAACCCUCGGAUGCCGGUGGAUACUGUCGGGCUAGAGUCCGGAAGAGGCGAGUGGAAUUCCUGGUGUAGCGGUGGAAUGCGCAGAUAUCAGGAGGAACACCGAUGGCGAAGGCAGCUCGCUGGGACGGUACUGACGCUGAGGCGCGAAAGCGUGGGGAGCAAACAGG
rnacentral:rRNA from 1 species